rnacentral:tRNA from 1 species
GCCGCCCUGGUGGAAUUGGUAGACACGCAACGUUCAGGGCGUUGUGAGCUUAUGCUCGUGGAGGUUCGAGUCCUCUGGGCGGCACCA